ACACGAACCAAGGAGUGCAACAUGCGUGCGAGUCUUUGGGUGGCAAACCCGUCGGCGCAAUGAAAGUGAAGGCAGGCGUUGGUCUGCUUAGGCGAGAGUCCCUCACGGGACGCAUCGUCGACCGAUCCCAGGUCACGCUGUGGCGGGAUUUGAGUGAGAGCGUGCCUGUUGCGACCCGAAAGAUGGUGAACUAUGCCUGAAUAGGGUGAAGCCAGAGGAAACUCUGGUGGAAGCUCGUAGCGAUUCUGACGUGCAAAUCGAUCGUCAAAUUUGGGUAUAGGGGCGAAAGACUAAUCGAACCAUCUAGUAGCUGGUUCCCUCCGAAGUUUCCCUCAGGAUAGCUGGAGCCCGGUGCAGUUUUAUCAGGUAAAGCGAAUGAUUAGAGGUCUUGGGGUUGAAACAACCUCAACCUAUUCUCAAACUUUAAAUGGGUAAGAAGCUUGGCUUGCUUAAUUGAAGUCGGGCAUUGAAUGCCGGGGUUCCUAGUGGGCCAUUUUUGGUAAGCAGAACUGGCGAUGUGGGAUGAACCAAAUGCUGGGUUAAGGUGCCCGAAUCGACGCUCAUCAGAUACCAUGAAAGGUGUUGGUUGAUCUAGACAGCAGGACGGUGGCCAUGGAAGUCGGA
rnacentral:rRNA from 1 species